rnacentral:rRNA from 1 species
AUUGAACGCUGGCGGCAUGCCUUACACAUGCAAGUCGAACGGUAACGGGUCCUUCGGGAUGCCGACGAGUGGCGAACGGGUGAGUAAUAUAUCGGAACGUGCCCAGUAGUGGGGGAUAACUGCUCGAAAGAGCAGCUAAUACCGCAUACGACCUGAGGGUGAAAGGGGGGGAUCGCAAGACCUCUCGCUAUUGGAGCGGCCGAUAUCAGAUUAGCUAGUUGGUGGGGUAAAGGCCUACCAAGGCAACGAUCUGUAGUUGGUCUGAGAGGACGACCAGCCACACUGGGACUGAGACACGGCCCAGACUCCUACGGGAGGCAGCAGUGGGGAAUUUUGGACAAUGGGCGCAAGCCUGAUCCAGCAAUGCCGCGUGCAGGAAGAAGGCCUUCGGUUGGU